rnacentral:rRNA from 1 species
UCGUACCUAUACCGCNGCAGGUCUCCAAGGUUAGCAGCCUCUAGUCAAUAGGACAAUGUAGGUAAGGGAAGUCBGCAAAUUAGA